UACGGGGGGGGCAAGCGUUGUUCGGAAUUACUGGGCGUAAAGGGCUCGUAGGCGGCCAACUAAGUCGGAUGUGAAAUCCCCAGGCUCAACUUGGGAACUGCAUCCGAUACUGGAUGGCUUGAAUUCGGGAGAGGGAUGCAGAAUUCCAGGUGUAGCGGUGAAAUGCGUAGAUAUCUGGAGGAACACCGGUGGCGAAGGCGGCAUUCUGGACCAUAACUGACACUGAGAGACGAAAGCCAGGGGAGCAAACGGG
rnacentral:rRNA from 1 species